rnacentral:rRNA from 1 species
UACGGAGGGUGCAAGCGUUAUCCGGAUUCACUGGGUUAAAGGGUGCGUAGGUGGGCGAGUAAGUCAGUGGUGAAAAUCUCCGGGCUUAACCCGGAAACUGCCAUUGAUACUAUUCGUCUUGAAUGUUGUGGAGGUAAGCGGAAUAUGUCAUGUAGCGGUGAAAUGCUUAGAUAUGACAUAGAACACCGAUAGCGUAGGCAGCUUACUACACAAAUAUUGACACUGAGGCACGAAAGCGUGGGGAUCAAACAGG